rnacentral:rRNA from 1 species
GAUGAACGCUGGCGGCGUGCCUAAUACAUGCAAGUCGAGCGAACGGACGAGAAGCUUGCUUUUCUGAUGUUAGCGGCGGACGGGUGAGUAACACGUGGAUAACCUACCUAUAAGACUGGGAUAACUUCGGGAAACCGGAGCUAAUACCGGAUAAUAUUUUGAACCGCAUGGUUCAAAAGUGAAAGACGGUCUUGCUGUCACUUAUAGAUGGAUCCGCGCUGCAUUAGCUAGUUGGUAAGGUAACGGCUUACCAAGGCAACGAUGCGUAGCCGACCUGAGAGGGUGAUCGGCCACACUGGAACUGAGACACGGUCCAGACUCUUACGGGAGGCAGCAGUAGGGAAUCUUCCGCAAUGGGCGAAAGCCUGACGGAGCAACGCCGCGUGAGUGAUGAAGGUCUUCGGAUCGUAAAACUCUGUUAUUAGGGAAGAACAUAUGUGUAAGUAACUGUGCACAUCUUGACGGUACCUAAUCAGAAAGCCACGGCUAACAACGUG